AGUUCUCCUUGGCUUUUAUCUCAGUCAGGUUCUACCACUGAUAACCUUAGGACUCAGUACAGGCUUAAGGUGAAUCUCUAUUGUAUUAACCAUGCGACCUCAGGAAACCAACAAUGAAGUGACCAAAUUAGGGAGUAAGUUAUAUUCACAAUAAAAUAUCUCAAUGUACAAACUUAAUGGUUCAGAAAUAUCAACUUUUUUGUCUCUGCUUUCCAGCUACCUACUACACGGUGAUGGAGAGGGCCCUCUUAACACCCCGUGAAAAAUACAGCGAGCCUAUCACCGAUAGCAUGAACAUUGGAUGGCAUGUCAACAAGGAGAACACAGCAGAGGCUUCAGUUCAAAGGAAAUUCGGAAGGCGGGUCACUGAUGUUACCAGUUUUUCGAGCAAUUUUCCCAUGUGCCGCCAGCAUAGUCCUCCCCCAAGGAAGACCACCGCCGAUCACCCACGCCCCGUCAUGGGGCGGGCCCCCAAAUCCAGCACAGACUGGAGGACAGCAGACCCCAAAGCACCAGCCCCACCAGCUACCCAUUACAAUAUGAUGGAGAGGGCCCGCUUAACGCCCCAUGAAAAAUACACCCAGCCUAUCACCAUGAACAUGACAUAUGGAUGGCAUGUCACCAAUGAGGUAAGAAAGAAUUUAUAAUGUCAUUACAUUUUGUCAAUGAUCUACAUUUAUUAUUAUUAUUAUUAUUAUGCAUUAAGAUAUCCUCACACCCUCUCAUGGUCAUUUAAGGUAUUUUGUCACAAGCAAAUUAAUUGAAAACUUACUGAACCACUAACCAUAAAUAUUCAUUUUUUUUCUCUAAGAACACAGCAGAGG
rnacentral:lncRNA from 1 species